rnacentral:rRNA from 1 species
GACGAACGCUGGCGGCGUGCCUAAUACAUGCAAGUCGAACGCACAGUUUAUACCGUAGCUUGCUACACCAUAGACUGUGAGUUGCGAACGGGUGAGUAACGCGUAGGUAACCUGCCUGGUAGCGGGGGAUAACUAUUGGAAACGAUAGCUAAUACCGCAUAAUAUUGAUUAUUGCAUGAUAAUUAAUUGAAAGGUGCAAUUGCACCACUACCAGAUGGACCUGCGUUGUAUUAGCUAGUAGGUGAGGUAACGGCUCACCUAGGCGACGAUACAUAGCCGACCUGAGAGGGUGAUCGGCCACACUGGGACUGGGACACGGCCCAGACUCCUACGGGAGGCAGCAGUAGGGAAUCUUCGGCAAUGGACGAAAGUCUGACCGAGCAACGCCGCGUGAGUGAAGAAGGUUUUCGGAUCGUAAAGCUCUGUUGUAAGAGAAGAACGGGUGUGAGAGUGGAAAGUUCACACUGUGACGGUAGCUUACCAGAAAGGGACGGCUAACUACGUG